UCAUUCACUUGUAACAGUGUGCACAUAGCUCUGAAGGCUGUACUUUAGAGACUGGCCAGCGUGAGACCCUGUUUACCUCCGUCACAGUUCUCAGAAUGGAGGAUAACUCACACAGCCUCAAACCCAAAACACAUUUGUUUUCGCUAGGCUAUUUAGAGAGAUUGGUUAUUGUUGCCAACUAGGUUAUAGGCUAAGUUUAAUAUUCAGUGAGAAAGUUAUCAAGAAGUUUCCCCUUGUUCCCAAAAGAGGUCAUUUAAUUGUUAGAAUUAGUUUCUCCCUACUCAGUUAUCCCUUUGUCCCCAUCUGGCUCAGGCUAGCACACUGUGCUGUGCUGGUUCAUCGGCAUGGAAAUGAGAGCGGGAUCAUUUUACUUACUUUCUUUCAGGAUUUGCAUUAUAUGCUGUGAAGACUGGUGGGAGUGACAGCAAGACAAAUCAUAGCAAAGGAGCCCCUCAGAACUGGUGUUUGUUUGGAAUGACAAUAUUCACAACUCAAAUACUACAUCCUUGGUUUUGUGGUUCUGGAUUGCCUAAAGGCUGUGUGUGCCAUCCAGAGCAUGAAGUAGUCUUCAGAGUAGAAGAUGGAAGAAGCCAAGUCUGUGAUGAUAAACAACCACCAGAGCAUACCUGGACAGCCUACCUCUGAAUUCUUUGGGAGAUGCAAAUAAACCUCUUGUGUUUGUGUG